AUACGGAGGGUGCGAGCGUUAAUCGGAAUUACUGGGCGUAAAGCGCGCGUAGGUGGUUUGAUAAGUCGGAUGUGAAAGCCCUGGGCUUAACCUGGGAAUGGCAUUCGAAACUGUCAGACUAGAGUAUGGUAGAGGGAAGUGGAAUUCCGGGUGUAGCGGUGAAAUGCGUAGAUAUCCGGAGGAACACCAGUGGCGAAGGCGGCUUCCUGGACCAAUACUGACACUGAUGUGCGAAAGCGUGGGGAGCAAACAGGAUUAGAAACCCCGGUAGUCC
rnacentral:rRNA from 1 species